rnacentral:rRNA from 1 species
GUGAGGAAUAUUGGUCAAUGGGCGCAAGCCUGAACCAGCCAUCCCGCGUGCAGGAAGACGGCGCUAUGCGUUGUAAACUGCUUUUCCAGGGAGAGAAACUUGCGCACGUGUUGCGCAAUUGACGGUACCCUGGGAAUAAGCAUCGGCUAACUCCGUGCCAGCAGCCGCGGUAAUACGGAGGAUGCGAGCGUUAUCCGGAUUCAUUGGGUUUAAAGGGUGCGUAGGCGGACUAUUAAGUCAGUGGUGAAAUCCUGCAGCUUAACUGCAGAACUGCCAUUGAUACUGAUAGCCUUGAGUUUGGUUAAGGUAGGCGGAAUGUGUAAUGUAGCGGUGAAAUGCUUAGAUAUUACACAGAACACCAAUUGCGUAGGCAGCUUACUGAGCCGACACUGACGCUGAGGCACGAAAGCGUGGGGAUCGAACAGGAUUAGAAACCCGAGUAGUCC